rnacentral:rRNA from 1 species
UACGUAGGUGGCAAGCGUUGUCCGGAUUUGUUGGGUUUAAAGGGUGCGUAGGCGGUCAUAUAAGUUAGCGGUGAAAUCCGGCAGCUCAACUGUCGAUGUGCCAUUGAUACUGUAUGACUUGAGUACUGAUGAGGUAGGCGGAAUUGACGGUGUAGCGGUGAAAUGCUUAGAUAUCGUCAAGAACACCGAUCGCGAAGGCAGAUUACUAAGCAGUAACUGCCGCUGAGGCACGAAAGUGUGGGGAUCAAACAGG